rnacentral:tRNA from 66 species
GCGAGUGUAGCCAAGUGGUUAAGGCAGUGGUUUGUGGUACCACCAUUCGUGGGUUCAAUUCCCAUCAUUCGCC